rnacentral:rRNA from 1 species
CUAAAGAUGGCGACCGGCGCACGGGUGAGUAACACGUAUCCAACCUGCCGAUAACUCGGGGAUAGCCUUUCGAAAGAAAGAUUAAUAUCCGAUGGCAUAGUUCUUCCGCAUGGUAGAACUAUUAAAGAAUUUCGGUCAUCGAUGGGGAUGCGUUCCAUUAGGUUGUUGGCGGGGUAACGGCCCACCAAGCCUUCGAUGGAUAGGGGUUCUGAGAGGAAGGUCCCCCACAUUGGAACUGAGACACGGUCCAA